UUCUCCUCUCUCUCUCUCUCUCUCUCUUGUGGUGUUUCGAAUGAAGAAUGCUUCGACGAUGGUUGAGGAGAUUCAUGUUAAACAAUCUUAAGACUGGCACGAAACUGUUACAAUCUUUUGGGGUUCUUCUUCCUCGCGGUGAUAUGAUCUAGGGUUUUUGAGGUACAUUCGACGGCGUG